rnacentral:rRNA from 1 species
CCAGACUCCUACGGGAGGCAGCAGUGGGGAAUAUUGCACAAUAGGGGAAACCCUGAUGCAGCAACGCCGCGUGAGUGAGGAAGUAUUUCGGUAUGUAAAGCUCUAUCAGCAGGGAAUAGAAAAGAAGGUACCUGAAAAAGAAGCCCCGGCUAACUACGUGCCAGCAGCCGCGGUAAUACGUAGGGGGCAAGCGUUAUCCGGAUUUACUGGGUGUAAAGGGAGCGUAGACGGCAGCGCAAGUCUGGAGUGAAAUGCCGGGGCCCAACCCCGGAACUGCUUUGGAAACUGUGCAGCUGGAGUGCAGGAGAGGUAAGCGGAAUUCCUAGUGUAGCGGUGAAAUGCGUAGAUAUUAGGAGGAACACCAGUGGCGAAGGCGGCUUACUGGACUGUAACUGACGUUGAGGCUCGAAAGCGUGGGGAGCAAACAGGAUUAGAUACCCUAGUA